rnacentral:lncRNA from 1 species
ACAGAGACACUCAGAAGGAAUUGGGACUGGAUGUGGAGGAAAGACAUCAUAAAACUUUACAUUGAAAGCCAAAGAUGUGAAGUUAGGCCUAGUCAAGUGUUAAUUCUGAAAGAUCAAAACACAUCAUCCUGGACUGUGAAGGUGUGCCUUCUGUAAGUUAAAUGGAAUGAGAUCUUCUUCAGUGCACCUGAUGUCUUGGGAAGGGUGUGAAUCAUGGCAAUACAGUGAAAGACAGUGAUUUACUGCUUUUGAGGGCGUGCAUGUAUAUGAUUAACGGAUGGAAGUGCAGGACUCCAAGAUUUACUUCCUUCCCUUUCCAGCAGAAUUACCUGAGACGAAUACCACUGGAUGGGACCGAGCAGGAGAGGAGGAAAGUGGCAGAUACUAUGUGAUGGCUGAGAAGCAGUGUUGAUGAGCUUAUUAGUCAUCUCCUGGCAAGUCCAUGACAUUUGCUUAUGUUGAUGGGGGGUGUGUGGGAUGGGAGGAAGAGAACUGACAAUUAAGGAGGCAGAAAAUUCCUAGUAACAUAAUCUUGCACUUCAGUUUUGUAUGUGUUUUGGGACAUAAAUUCCAGACAGUGUGAGUUAGCAGAUGAGUGUUCUAGGCAUAUUCCUGUGCCUCAGCUCCUCUGUAGAAUGGUGCUGGCAAUACAGUUUGCCUCAUUGGGCUCUUGUAAGCUUUAAAUAGGUUAUUAUACAUAAAGAGCUAAUAGUGAUGCCUGUAGCCGUUGUCUAAGUGCUAGCUCUGAUGAUGGUGACAAAGA